rnacentral:rRNA from 1 species
UACGUAGGGGGCUAGCGUUGUCCGGAAUCAUUGGGCGUAAAGCGCGUGUAGGCCGUCCGGUAAGUCCGCUGUGAAAGUCGGGGGCUCAACCCUCGGAUGCCGGUGGAUACUGUCGGGCUUGAGUACGGAAGAGGCGAGUGGAAUUCCUGGUGUAGCGGUGAAAUGCGCAGAUAUCAGGAGGAACACCAAUGGCGAAGGCAGCUCGCUGGGACGUUACUGACGCUGAGACGCGAAAGCGUGGGGAGCAAACAGG